GCGGCGUUGGUCGAGCUGGAAAGAUCCCGGCCUUCCACGCCGGAGACGCGGGACCAUUUAAAGGCGCGACUUCAAAUCCCGCACAUGGCA
rnacentral:tRNA from 1 species